GACGAACGCUGGCGGCGUGCUUAACACAUGCAAGUCGAACGAAGUGGCGAACGGGUGAGUAACGCGUAAUCAACCUGCCCUUCAGAGGGGGACAACAGUUGGAAACGAAUGCUAAUACCGCAUACGGAAGGAGGGGAUUGCGUCUGAUUAGCUAGUUGGAGGGGUAACGGCCCACCAAGGCGAUGAACAGUAGCCGGUCUGAGAGGAUGAACGGCCACAUUGGGACUGAGACACGGCCCAGACUCCUACGGGAGGCAGCAGUGGGGAAUCUUCCGCAAUGGACGAAAGUCUGACGGAGCAACGCCGCGUGAGUGAUGAAGGUUUUCGGAUCGUAAAGCUCUGUUGUUAAGGAAGCGGUACUUAACCAGAAAGGGACGGCUAACUACGUGCCAGCAGCCGCGGUAAUAC
rnacentral:rRNA from 1 species